CCCUUAGAUGUUCUGGGCCGCACGCGUGCUACAAUGCUAAUUGCAAAGGGAAUACCCGUUCUGAGAAGCACGGGUAAUCCUAAAUGAUUACUUUGACUGGGCUUGAUGACUGCAAGUAUUCAUCACAAACGAGGAAUUCCUAGUAAGCGCAGUUCAAGAUACUGCAUUGAUUACGUCCCUGCCCUUUGUACACACCGCCCGUCGCUUCUACCGAUUGAAUGUUCCGGUGAGCUCUUUGGAGUAAACGUUUUGCAGGAAAACAUUUCUGUAAUUUGUUUUGCAAACUUGUGCAAACCUUAAUGUUUAGAGGAAGGAGAAGUCGUAACA
rnacentral:rRNA from 1 species